GACGAACGCGGCGGCGUGCUUAACACAUGCAAGUCGAACGGAAAGGCCCUGCUUUUGUGGGGUGCUCGAGUGGCGAACGGGUGAGUAACACGUGAGUAACCUGCCCUUGACUUUGGGAUAACUUCAGGAAACUGGGGCUAAUACCGGAUAGGAGCUCCUGCUGCAUGGUGGGGGUUGGAAAGUUUCGGCGGUUGGGGAUGGACUCGCGGCUUAUCAGCUUGUUGGUGGGGUAGUGGCUUACCAAGGCUUUGACGGGUAGCCGGCCUGAGAGGGUGACCGGCCACAUUGGGACUGAGAUACGGCCCAGACUCCUACGGGAGGCAGCAGUGGGGAAUAUUGCACAAUGGGCGGAAGCCUGAUGCAGCAACGCCGCGUGCGGGAUGACGGCCUUCGGGUUGUAAACCGCUUUCGCCUGUGACGAAGCG
rnacentral:rRNA from 1 species